GUCCAGGGGUGGGAAUCGAAACGACAAAGUUUCGCUUACCGGGCAGAUGCCAAGUCCACUAGGCUACCCUGGA